rnacentral:rRNA from 1 species
AUUGAACGCUGGCGGCGUGCUUAACACAUGCAAGUCGAUCGGUAACAGGUGUAGCAAUACAUGCUGACGAGAGGCGGACGGGUGAGUAAUGCUUGGGAAUCUGCCUAUUAGUGGGGGACAACCCGGGGAAACUCGGGCUAAUACCGCAUACGCUCUACGGAGGAAAGCCGGGGACCGCAAGGCCUGGCGCUAAUAGAUGAGCCCAAGUCGGAUUAGCUAGUUGGUAGGGUAACGGCCUACCAAGGCGACAAUCCGUAGCUGGUCUGAGAGGAUGAUCAGCCACACUGGGACUGAGACACGGCCCAGACUCCUACGGGAGGCAGCAGUGGGGAAUCUUGGACAAUGGGCGCAAGCCUGAUCCAGCCAUGCCGCGUGGGUGAAGAAGGCCU